CGCACGCUGGCGGCGUGCUUAACACAUGCAAGUCGACCGGCAAGGCCCCUUUGGGGGUACUCGAGUGGCGAACGGGUGAGUAACACGUGAGUAACCUGCCCUUGACUUCGGGAUAACUUCAGGAAACUGGGGCUAAUACCGGAUAGGAAUCCUUGCUGCAUGGUGGGGGUUGGAAAGCUUCGGCGGUUUUGGAUGGACUCGCGGCUUAUCAGCUUGUUGGUGGGGUAGUGGCUUACCAAGGCUUUGACGGGUAGCCGGCCUGAGAGGGCGACCGGCCACAUUGGGACUGAGAUACGGCCCAGACUCCUACGGGAGGCAGCAGUGGGGAAUAUUGCACAAUGGGCGGAAGCCUGAUGCAGCAACGCCGCGUGCGGGAUGACGGCCUUCGGGUUGUAAACCGCUUUCAGCAGGGGCGAAGCUUGUGGUGACGGUACCUGCAGAAGAAGCACCGGCUAACUACGUG
rnacentral:rRNA from 1 species